GGACCCGUGGCGCAGUGGUAGCGCGUAUGAUUCCAGAUGUUCAAGUACGAGCGUGGGAAUUCCAUAAGGUCAUCCGUUCAAUCCGGGUCGGGUUCA